UCACAUGAUCUGAUCCGAAGCCCACUGAAGUCAAUGUAAAUCUUUGGAUUGACUUCAGUGGGUUUUGGAUCAAGUCCAUAAUA
rnacentral:pre_miRNA from 1 species